rnacentral:rRNA from 1 species
GUAAACCUCUUUUGACCUGUCAUCGAGACAGGUAGAAUAAGCAUCUACUAACUACGUGCCAGCAGUCGCGGUAAUACGUAGGAUGCAAGCGUUAUCCGGAUUUACUGGGCGUAAAGGGUCGCGUAGGCGGUUUACCGCAUCUCACUUCAAAUAAUUCCGCUUAACGGGGUUUCGGGUGAGUGAUGGGUAGACUAGAGGAUUGGUGGGGUUUCUGGAACUUUCGGUGUAGCAGUGAAAUGCGUUGAUAUCGAAAGGAACACCAAGAGCGAAGGCAGGAAACCAACCAACACCUGACGCUGAGGCACGACAGCCAGGGGAGCGAAGCAGAUUAGAGACCUGCGUAGUCCUGGCCGUAAACGCAUGAGUGCUAGUUGCCCCGAUUAUAUCGGGGUGACGCAAGUUAACACGUUAAGCACUCCGCCUGGGGAGUACGAUCGCAAGAUUAAAACUCAAAGGAAUUGGCGGGGACCCGCACAACCGGUGGAGCAUGUGGUUUAAUUCGAGACGAAGCGAAAGACCUCACCACGGUUUGACAUGCUAUCGUUUAGUCUUCUGGAAACAGAGGAUGAUCCGCAAGGAUGAUAGCAAAGCUGCUGCAUGGCUGUCGUCAGCUCGUACCGUGAGGUGUUCCCUUAAGUGGGGUAACGAGCGCAACCCUCGCCCUGAGUUAUACAUGUCUCAGGGGACGGUCCCGACGUAUGUCGGGAAGGAAGGUGGGGACGACGUCAAGUCAGCACGGCGCCUAUGCCGUGGGCCACACACAUCCUACAAUGGCGAAUAACAACGAGGAGCAAGAGCGCGAGCUUAAGCAAAUCUCUAAAAUUUCGCCUCAGUUGGAAUUGCAGUCUGCAACUCGACUGCAUGAACUUGGAAUCGGUAGUAAUCGCGGAUCAGCAGGCCGCGGUGAAUACGUUCUCGGGUCUUGCACACACCGCCCGUCAAGCCAACAAAGUUGAGGGCGGCCGACGUCCCGCGUAAGUGGGAUUAAGCCGAACUCAGCGAUGGGGACUAAGUCGUAACAAGGUAACC